AUCAAGCCAUUGAAAUUGGUCAGCCCUAUUGAAAAAAUAGUGUAAUAUGGUCACAGUCUCCUAACAGUCUGUGUACAGCAAUGUCAGCCUAGCUUCGUGAGUCAAACCAGGGAGAUGGGGGGAAAUUUUGGCUGCCACAGCCUUGAGUGCGGUGAAAAAAAAAAGAAAAAGAAAAAGAAAACCAGCACUCUGAGUAAUCUAGUAAUUGGGUUCUGCCCUCUCAUGAGCUGACAGGAGACCACAAUCACGUGAAACAACCACCAAAGAUGGUAACAGCUCAGCAAGAGUGACUUGGGCUUAACAGGUGCAGAGUCCUGGCUUGGAAAGGGGGCUUGGCUUACCGGGCUCUGCUGCGCUCUUCAACCUGGCUGCAGGGGCAUGAAAGGGGCUGAAAUCUGGCCCAACCCCUGCCAAGCAGUGAAGCCUAGUGUGGAUAUUACCCUUCCAGAAGGAUCCUCCCAGAAAGAGCAGAUUUUUGCCACUCAUCUACCCAGGAGAGGUGCUACUUUCGAAUUCACACAGAGGCUGUGUGUGCCACAUAGGUUCCUGACAUUCCUUUGAGUGAGGAGCCUUGACCUGACAGGAAGACAGCUAGAGAGCACUUAACUGUUGCUUCCCCAGAGUCAAUUCCUUGUGGAAACUUUCUGUCCCUGCACCUGUGAAAUUUGCUUAAUGGAUUUUGGAGACCUACGGUUAAAGAGUAUGAAAGAAUGUGGGCUUUGGAGUGAGGAAGACUGCCUAGAUCUACUCUUAUUGGCCCAAUUAACCUCUAAUUCAGCUCCCUCAUGAAGGAAGAAAAAAUAGCAUCUGCCUCAUAGGAUUGCUGUAGGUACGAGGAAAACACUUGUCACCAUGCCUGGCAUGUGAUAAGUGCCCAGUCAAUGUUAGCUCUCAUUAUUAAUAAAACAAGAGAUUUGGUUUA